rnacentral:rRNA from 1 species
GACGAACGCUGGCGGCGUGCUUAACACAUGCAAGUCGAACGGUGAAGCUCUAGUUUUCUGGAGUGGAUCAGUGGCGAACGGGUGAGUAACACGUGAGCAACCUGCCCCUGACUCUGGAAUAAGCUCUGGAAACGGCGCCUAAUACUGGAUACAAGAAGGGCCCGCAUGGGCACUUUCUGGAAAGUUUUUCGGUUGGGGAUGGGCUCGCGGCCUAUCAGCUUGCUGGUGAGGUAAUGGCUCACCAAGGCGACGACGGGUAGCCGGCCUGAGAGGGCGACCGGCCACACUGGGACUGAGACACGGCCCAGACUCCUACGGGAGGCAGCAGGGGGGAAUAUUGCACAAUGGGCGAAAGCCUGAUGCAGCGACGCCGCGUGAGGGAUGACGGCCUUCGGGUUGUAAACCUCUUUCGGCAGGGAAGAAGCGAAAGUGACGGUACCUGCAGAAGAAGCACCGGCUAACUACGUG